GUAGCGAAAGUUACGCUAAUACCGCAUAUUCUGUGAGCAGGAAAGCAGGGGAUCGCAAGACCUUGCGCUGAUUGAGCGGCCGAUAUCAGAUUAGCUAGUUGGUGAGGUAAAGGCUCACCAAGGCGACGAUCUGUAGCGGGUCUGAGAGGAUGAUCCGCCACACUGGAACUGAGACACGGUCCAGACUCCUACGGGAGGCAGCAGUGGGGAAUUUUGGACAAUGGGGGCAACCCUGAUCCAGCCAUGCCGCGUGAGUGAAGAAGGCCUUCGGGUUGUAAAGCUCUUUCGGCCGGGAAGAAAUCGUAUGGGUUAAUACCCUGUGCGGAUGACGGUACCGGCAUAAGAAGCACCGGCUAACUACGUGCCAGCAGCCGCGGUAAUACGUAGGGUGCGAGCGUUAAUCGGAAUUACUGGGCGUAAAGCGUGCGCAGGCGGUUUUGUAAGACAGGCGUGAAAUCCCCGGGCUCAACCUGGGAACUGCGCUUGUGACUGCAAGGCUAGAGUACGGCAGAGGGGGGUGGAAUUCCACGUGUAGCAGUGAAAUGCGUAGAGAUGUGGAGGAACACCAAUGGCGAAGGCAGCCCCCUGGGUCGAUACUGACGCUCAUGCACGAAAGCGUGGGUAGCAAACAGGAUUAGAUACCCUGGUAGUCCACGCCCUAAACGAUGUCAACUAGGUGUUGGGUGGGUAAAACCAUUUAGUACCGGAGCUAACGCGUGAAGUUGACCGCCUGGGGAGUACGGCCGCAAGGUUAAAACUCAAAGGAAUUGACGGGGACCCGCACAAGCGGUGGAUGAUGUGGAUUAAUUCGAUGCAACGCGAAAAACCUUACCUACCCUUGACAUGUCCAGGAGCCUGAAGAGAUUUGGGUGUGCCCGAAAGGGAACUGGAACACAGGUGCUGCAUGGCUGUCGUCAGCUCGUGUCGUGAGAUGUUGGGUUAAGUCCCGCAACGAGCGCAACCCUUGUCGUUAAUUGCCAUCAUUUAGUUGGGCACUUUAACGAGACUGCCGGUGACAAACCGGAGGAAGGUGGGGAUGACGUCAAGUCCUCAUGGCCCUUAUGGGUAGGGCUUCACACGUCAUACAAUGGUCGGUACAAAGGGUCGCCAACCCGCGAGGGGGAGCCAAUCCCAGAAAGCCGAUCGUAGUCCGGAUCGUAGGCUGCAACUCGCCUGCGUGAAGUCGGAAUCGCUAGUAAUCGUGAUCAGCAUGUCACGGUGAAUACGUUCCCGGGUCUUGUACACACCGCCCGUCACACCAUGGGAGCGGGUUCCGCCAGAAGUAGGUAGCCUAACCGCAAGGGGGGCGCUUACCACGGCGGGGUUCGUGACUGGGGUGAAGUCGUAACAAGGUA
rnacentral:rRNA from 1 species